rnacentral:lncRNA from 1 species
CCUUGUUCAGUCCAAAGAAUUCUCUGCUCAGGUUAUUAUUUCAUGGAGACCUUUAAGUUUCCAAUCACCCUUAGUUUCUGGCGGGGUUUUGCGUGGUGGGGUUGUCUUCCAUUGGAACCUUUAAGCUUCCAAUCGCCCUUAGUUUCUGGCGGGGUUCCAUUUUGCUAUCCUCUUCCAGUAACUUCAUUGCUAAAUACGUAUAUGCCAUUAAUCUAAUGAUUGAAAUUUGCGUUUGACUGGUGUGUGUUGUUUUCAAUCUCUAGCUGUUAAUGUUAACUGCGAAAACCACAUUUGGUACUUGAUCUGGUUUGUGUAGUCAUAUUCCUUCUCCUUUUUGGGGUUGCAAAAUUGUGGGACGUAUUGGUUCCUCGACCUCGAGGGAUGGAAUAAGCC